UACGGGGGGAGCAAGCGUUGUUCGGAUUUACUGGGCGUAAAGGGCGCGUAGGCGGCGCAACAAGUCACUUGUGAAAUCUCCGGGCUUAACCCGGAGCGGCCAAGUGAUACUGUCGUGCUAGAGUGCGGAAGGGGCUACUGGAAUUCUCGGUGUAGCGGUGAAAUGCGUAGAUAUCGGGAGGAACACCGGUGGCGAAGGCGGCUCUCUGGGCCUGUCCUGACGCUCAAGCGCGAAAGCUAGGGGAGCAACCAGGAUUAGAAACCCCCGGUAGU
rnacentral:rRNA from 1 species